rnacentral:rRNA from 1 species
CGGGCGGACGGGUGAGUAAUGUCUGGGAAACUGCCCGAUGGAGGGGGAUAACUACUGGAAACGGUAGCUAAUACCGCAUAACGUCGCAAGACCAAAGAGGGGGACCUUAGGGCCUCUUGCCAUCGGAUGUGCCCAGAUGGGAUUAGCUAGUAGGUGGGGUAACGGCUCACCUAGGCGACGAUCCCUAGCUGGUCUGAGAGGAUGACCAGCCACACUGGAACUGAGACACGGUCCAG